AUUUAGAGUUAGGAAAGAAAGCAAGUGAAACGGAUAGACACACUGCCCUCCUGCUUGCGGAAAGGAAUGUAUUUCCUAAUGAUCUUGUCCCUUCUAGGAGCAAUAACAGAAGAAUAUUGAAAUGUACUGUUGGCUGCGUUUUGGAUACAUGCUCCAUGAAAUAUUCAUAAUAAAGUUGGGCUUCAGUUCUGCAGUCAGUAGUGAUGCAUCAAACACUGUCUGCGUGUUUGCAAGAUCAGAGACUGCAUUUAUGCCCAGCAAGCCACAAACAGACAGCAGGCUAAACCUGCCACACUAAAAGUGCAGUGGCUGAUUGUGGCUCCUUACUUCUCAAGAUAAUUUAUAUGGGAUUUUUAACUAAAGAAAUAUCUAUCUGUACCAUAUUUUCAUCUUUAAACUGUAUUUAGUAUCAUUAAUGUGAUCAGAAAUGUCCACAAAAUUGCUCUAUUAAAAAAACAGAGUACCUACACUAUAUCAUUUGGUAAACAUGAGUGAUGCUUUGUUCACUAAACUGCUCACUCCAGUCGAAGAGUCCAGAUCUGCGUUCAGAAGGCUUCAUCUUAGAAACUGCCUCCAAGAGGACCGCAGCCGGAUCCCUGAGGAGGACACGGUCCAUCACUACAUUGGCAAUACAAUAGGUGAGACUUUCUUUCACCAACAAGAACAUGGAAAUCUUGUACUUCAGUGCAAUCAGCCAGUUGCUAAAGAAAGUAAGAGAAUAGAUUGGUAUAAGACAGCAGACGAUAUGCAACAAUUUGAGUUAAUUAACUGCUCUUCCAAGUGUAAUCACUUGUGUACAGAAACAGUUUGCAAUGAAACCUUAGAGGUGGCACGAGUUUCAUCUGAUGGGAGGAUGUUUGCAUGUGGAGCACUUUCAAGUGAUGAAGAACCAAUGACUUCCCUACUAUUCAGCAAUGCGUCUCACUGCAGGCGCUAUAGCUUCUUUCUUGUACAGACUAAAACCGAAUCAGGGAAAAAGAGCUCAGGCAAUGUUCAGGAAAAAUCCCAAGUCUCUCUCAAAUUCAAAGAAACAGAUAACAUCACCCUGUCUUGUGAAUUUUACACUAACUGCUCAGGACACUGUUUUUUUAUGUACUGGAUCAGAGUCAGUAAAACAAGUGAAUGCCUUUUUUCUGCUGCGAAUGAAGCCCUGGCCCCAAGCUUGACUUUUAAUGAGCACUGCUGUGUUGAUCGCGACAUCCAGGAACGACUGCUGAACAAUACAAACUUUAAUUCCACUCACAAAAGACAUAACAUGACUAUCCUGAACGUCACGAGUGCUGACAGCGGGCAAUAUUUAUGCAUUGUUGCUGCCUGGCAACAUGGUAAACUUGAGUGGCAAGUUCCUACUAACCGGUCGGUGGAUGUUCAGAAAGACCAAACGGCACCUAUGCAGUGGCAUGUCAUCUCUGGAGCUGUAGCUGGGAUUAUUUUUCUCAAUGUGACAGUAGGACUGAUCUGUCUGAAGAUAUUCAAAUCAAAAGGGAAAAAAACAACCACACAAGUUACCAGAGAUCACGAUGCUAUUGGAAUGACAGAAGAUGAAUGUUCUCCAUAUGCAGUAAGUGGCAGCAGCGACAUGUACAGAAAUGAGAGCCUUUACUCCCGUGUAACAAGGACCUGCACGGAGCCAAAUGGGCCCUCUUCUAGCCCAGAUAACAGGGCUACUGGGGCAGGACAGGGAGCAGAUAUACGUACUGUCUAUGCACUGCUGAAUAAAUAGCUGUUUCAGAUACCUUAGGAGGUGAAGGUGAAAGCAUUACUUUUUGCAAAUUACAUGGCAGUCUGAAUGCCAGCUGGCUAGAUAUAUUAGCUUUAUUGCUAGAAUGUCUGUAUAUUCAUGGAUCAAUAUACUCCAAGUACACGAAUUGCCUGGUAAAAUGUUUCUUACUAUAGCACUAUGGAAAAUUUACUUCUUACUUUCUGGUUCAUCUGCAUCAAGAAAACUAUGAGUUACAGGUUUUAUUUCUGGCCAAAAAAUCUUGCGAAACAGUGUGACUCAUUUUCUGCAAAUCUUCUCCCAGUAACGCGUACAAGGAAGACUGUGACCACCUUCAAACCGGCACAGGGGUGGGGAAGCCAGAGCAGAAAGAGCGCUGCAGGGCGCUCGGCACCUCAUGCCACUUCUAGAGCGCAGGAACUGCCCCGCUGGUGGCUCUGGGGGCCAGGCUGGCAGGGGAGCACGGCACGGGGAGAAGGGUCCCCUGCAGCCCCUGCCCGGGGGGGCCUGACAUCACUGCAGGGCAGCACCAGCGUGGGGGCAGCUCCACAAAGCAAGUCAGUAGUUUGCCUCCUCGUUAGGCUGAUCCAAUAUUUUGGCACAUUAGAUUUGUUACAGAACACUGUUUUACAAAAGUAUUUGUGAAUUCCGGCUGAUUUCAGCAGCCAGGAUUCCUUAAAAUUACUUUCUGGGAAAGUCAGAAUAUUUUAUUUUGACAUAUAUGAAGCAAAUCUUUCUGAUUUUUAGUUUAUAUAUUAGUGUUUCUGCUUCAAGUUUGACUUUUUUUUUUUUAAGGCAUAUUACCCCUUGAUAAUACAACAUUUUUAGAUGGACCUGAACUGAGAUUCCAAAUGAAUUCACAAAAUACUGAAUAGCCUUUAGAUGCAGAUAAUUUUUUUCUCUGCAGUCCAAACUAUGUAAACUAAUACAUGGAUUCUUCGCUAUUAGGCUACAUGUAUUAGCAGGUUCUAACUCUACAGUAGCUGCAAGAAUAAAAGCAAAAUAGCUUUUUUUUUUUUCCUGGAA
ensembl:lncRNA